UACGGAGGAUCCGAGCGUUAUCCGGAUUUAUUGGGUUUAAAGGGUGCGCAGGCGGGAGAUUAAGUCGGCGGUGAAAUUUUGCAGCUCAACUGUAAAAGUGCCUUCGAAACUGGUUUUCUUGAGUGUGGAUGAAGUAGGCGGAAUUUGUGGUGUAGCAGUGAAAUGCAUAGAUAUCACGAGGAACUCCGAUUGCGCAGGCAGCUUACUAAGCAAUAACUGACGCUCAGGCACGAAGGCGUGGGGAUCAAACAGGAUUAGAUA
rnacentral:rRNA from 1 species